AUACGGAGGGUCCAAGCGUUAUCCGGAAUCAUUGGGUUUAAAGGGUCCGCAGGCGGUCAAUUAAGUCAGAGGUGAAAGCCCAUCGCUCAACGAUGGAACUGCCUUUGAUACUGGUUGACUUGAGUUAUACGGAAGUAGAUAGAAUAAGUAGUGUGGCGGUGAAAUGCAUAGAUAUUACUUAGAAUACCGAUUGCGAAGGCAGUCUACUACGUAUAUACUGACGCUGAGUGACGAAAGCGUGGGGAGCGAACAGGAUUAGAAACCCCGGUAGUCC
rnacentral:rRNA from 1 species